CGGUUACUAGUAAAGAUGUAAAUCGCUCAAAGAUGGCCUUAGGUCCGAUCAGCUAGUUGGUAGGGUAACGGCCUACCAAGGCAAUGACCGGUAGGGGAGGUGAGAGCCUGGCCCCCAACGACGAGACUGAGACACGGCUCGUACUCCUACGGGAGGCAGUAGCCGAGAAUAUUCGACAAUGGACGAAAGUCUGAUCGAGCGACACCGCGUGCGGGAUGAAGGCCUUCGGGUUGUAAACCGCGGUAGUAGGGGAGAAAGCGCACCUCACUAAGGUGAGCUGCUCGUGGAGCUUGAAUCGUAAAGCGUGGAUCGUCGGCAUUAUUCGCAGACGUUUCACGAUAUGCGUUUCACGAUUCACGGAGCACAUCGCUUUAGCGAGGUGCGCUGAUUGUACCUUACGGAAAGAGNNNNNNNNNNNNNNNNNNNNNNAAAGAGGUGGGUAACUACGUGCCAGCACCAGCGGUAAUACGUAGACCUCAAGCGUUAUCCGGAUUUAUUGGGCGUAAAGAGCAUGUAGGAUGUUUUGUGCGUCUUUGGUUAAAUCCCACCGCCUAACGGUGGAACUGCCCGAGAUACGACAAAACUAGAGGGGGUUAGAGGUGCAUGGAACGCACGGUGUAGGGGUGAAAUCCGUUGAUAUCGUGCGGAACACCAAAGGCGAAGGCAGUGCACUGGGACCUUCCUGACUCUGAGAUGCGAAAGCGUGGGGAGCAAAAAGGAUUAGAUACCCUUGUAGUCCACGCCCUAAACGAUGCCCGCUUGGUGUUUCGAGUAUCGACCCUCGGAGUGCCGUAGCUAACGCGUUAAGCGGGCCGCCUGGGAAGUACGAGCGCAAGCUUAAAACUCAAAGGAAUAGACGGGGACUCGCACAAGCGGUGGAACAUGAGGUUUAAUUCGAUGCUAAGCGAGGAACCUUACCAGGGCUAGAAAUGUGUGUUGACGGCGUCGGGAAACCGGUGCCUUCUCUCAAGGACAAUACACUCAGGUGCUGCAUGGUUGUCGUCAGCUCGUGCUUUGAAGUGUUCCCUUAAGUGGGGUAACGAGCGCAACCCCUGCUCCGUGUUACACGUAUCACGGGGGACUGCCCAGCCCAAAGUCCGGAGGACUUUGGGAUAUAUCGAAAUUUCGACAUUUCGAAAUCUCCCAAAAACCUGUGGUUUUUGGGCUGGGAGGAAGGAGGGGAUGACGUCAAAUCCGCAUGGCCCUUUGAUGCCCUGGGCGACACUCGUGUUACAAUGGCCACGACAAUGGGUUGCCAACCCGCAAGGGGGAGCUAAUCCCAUCAAACGUGGCCCCAGUUCGGAUUGGGGGCUGAAACCCGCCCCCAUGAAGCCGGAAUCGCUAGUAAUCGCGGAUCAGCCACGCCGCGGUGAAUACGUUCUCGAGUCCUGUACUCACUGCCCGUCAAGCCAAGGAAGCCGGUAAUAGAUGAAGCCUCUCUCUUUGCGCGAGAGCGCAAAGAGCGCGGAAGUACGCGGAACGCACGCGGACUAACGCGGAAGAAAUUCCGCGCAGGUCAGCGUUAAGUCU
rnacentral:rRNA from 1 species